rnacentral:rRNA from 1 species
AUUGAACGCUGGCGGCAUGCCUAACACAUGCAAGUCGAACGGCAGCACGGCAGUAGCAAUACUGUGGGUGGCGAGUGGCGGACGGGUGAGGAAUACGUCGGAAUCUGCCCAGUCGUGGGGGAUAACUAGCCGAAAGGUUAGCUAAUACCGCAUACGACCGAGAGGUGAAAGCGGGGGACCGCAAGGCCUCGCGCGAUUGGAUGAGCCGACGUCGGAUUAGCUAGUUGGUGGGGUAAAGGCCCACCAAGGCGACGAUCCGUAGCUGGUCUGAGAGGAUGAUCAGCCACACUGGAACUGAGACACGGUCCAGACUCCUACGGGAGGCAGCAGUGGGGAAUAUUGGACAAUGGGCGCAAGCCUGAUCCAGCAAUGCCGCGUGUGUGAAGAAGGCCUCGGUUGUAAGACACUUUAUUCAGAACGAAAGACGUGGAGUUAAUACUACUGACGUGC